rnacentral:tRNA from 1 species
GGCUUCGUGGUGUAGUAACGCUCGACGUGUAAUCGAGAAGUCCGUGGUUCGAUUCCCGGCGAAGGCG